UAUGCCUCCUAAAGAGCCGUUGAAGACUACGACGUUGAUAGGUUGGAUGUGGAAGCAUAGCGAUAUGUGAAGCUGACCAAUACUAAUUGCUCGUGAGGCUUGACUAU
rnacentral:ncRNA from 1 species